rnacentral:rRNA from 1 species
GACUUUUAAGGUCCGCUCUAUUACAUGCAAGUCGAGCGGACAGAUGGGAGCUUGCUCCCUGAUGUUAGCGGCGGACGGGUGAGUAACACGUGGGUAACCUGCCUGUAAGACUGGGAUAACUCCGGGAAACCGGGGCUAAUACCGGAUGGUUGUUUGAACCGCAUGGUUCAAACAUAAAAGGUGGCUUCGGCUACCACUUACAGAUGGACCCGCGGCGCAUUAGCUAGUUGGUGAGGUAACGGCUCACCAAGGCAACGAUGCGUAGCCGACCUGAGAGGGUGAUCGGCCACACUGGGACUGAGACACGGCCCAGACUCCUACGGGAGGCAGCAGUAGGGAAUCUUCCGCAAUGGACGAAAGUCUGACGGAGCAACGCCGCGUGAGUGAUGAAGGUUUUCGGAUCGUAAAGCUCUGUUGUUAGGGAAGAACAAGUACCGUUCGAAUAGGGCGGUACCUUGACGGUACCUAACCAGAAAGCCACGGCUAACUACGUGCCAGCAGCCGCGGUAAUACGUAGGUGGCAAGCGUUGUCCGGAAUUAUUGGGCGUAAAGGGCUCGCAGGCGGUUUCUUAAGUCUGAUGUGAAAGCCCCCGGCUCAACCGGGGAGGGUCAUUGGAAACUGGGGAACUUGAGUGCAGAAGAGGAGAGUGGAAUUCCACGUGUAGCGGUGAAAUGCGUAGAGAUGUGGAGGAACACCAGUGGCGAAGGCGACUCUCUGGUCUGUAACUGACGCUGAGGAGCGAAAGCGUGGGGAGCGAACAGGAUUAGAUACCCUGGUAGUCCACGCCGUAAACGAUGAGUGCUAAGUGUUAGGGGGUUUCCGCCCCUUAGUGCUGCAGCUAACGCAUUAAGCACUCCGCCUGGGGGGAGUACGGUCGCAAGACUGAAACUCAAAGGAAUUGACGGGGGCCCGCACAGCGGUGGAGCAUGUGGUUAAUUCGAGGCACGCGAGACUUACCAGGGUCCUGGACAUCUCUGACCAUCUAGAAGAUAGGACGUCCCUCCGGGGGCCAGAUUGACAGGUGGUGCAUGGAUUGUCGUCAGCUCCUUCCGUGAGAAUGG